CGGAACCCGGCGGAUGGGGGAGCGUCCCGGUUAGAUGACCUUUUCCCCAUGAGAAGGGAAUCUGGAUUCUGCCCUCUGAAAGCGUCAUUUGCGUGAUCUGUGCUUCUCAUGCGUACGGCGCCCUAUGGCAGGUCUCUAGGUUCCGCCGCAGGCGCUCGGCGAGCAUCCGCGGGGUCCGUGACGCCUCGUCGCUUCGGAAUAUGGCCCAUCGAGCGUUUCUCGUCUCGCGAUCGGAGCUUAAAGCGCGCCUCGCAUCGCAGAUGUUUCUGCGAGGUGGCCUUUGUGGAGGUGGUCUGUGCCGGACUCACAGUCGUGCUCUAGAAACUUCCGCCUCAAUUGAAGUUUGAUACCAUCUUUCAUCUCUAUAUGCUGUGGGAUGCUGGACUAGUCCAGGCUUGUUGGUGCCGAAAACAGGGCCAUUUUGACCCAGCAGAAGGGGCCCCGGGGGAAUCCAGCUUGGGCGAGAGCAGGGAUUGAGCAAAUUGCUUAUCUUGCACUGAUAAGCACCGGACCCGAACAGGGGCAUGAGAUGAGCAAUUUGUUCAUCUUAACAAGAUGUGGUGUCUGAUGGGUCUACUCCUUAAUCAACUAAGUGACGCCUGGGGUGAGGGGGAGCCUCCUUCGCAGCUCGACCUUACUUUGGUAAAACUAAACAGACCACCGCUCCUCUGGACUGAACACGUUUGUUCUCCGCCACUUCCCCCCCCCAGCCCCGACCAACUGCACAACAAGCCUUGUUAAGGGCCAAUCGGCACACAAUACCUGACUUAGUCCCACCUCGCCAAAAGUAUAAAUCUGGCAUUUAGAAUCCUCUUUUUUGAGGACGAGAACUCCAACUAUCCGGACGGCUCGACGGGCCUGGACCUCUCUCUCCUCCCCAAGCAGGGACGCCUCUUUGGUGCCACGGCACGAUUUGGAUUCCCGUACGACACCCUCGAGUGAGGUUUUUGUGGAGUAUCCAAGUAACAGCGAAGGAGCGGUGCAGUUAGCAAGGCAUCUUCCCUAGUCCCUGCCUAUGAGCGCUAACUCUACAGAGUCAGGCGGAGCGGCGAUGCUGUCUUAAGGGACAGGGUGAGGCCGUUCCACAGAUGGGCCAAGAAUCGGGGCCGUGGCUCGUUGUGGCGGGCAGGUGGCAGAACGGCUGUGCG